UAUGGACGCAGCAGUGGGGAAUUUUGGAUAAUGGGGAAAACCCUCAUCCAGCCAUCCCGCGUGUGCGAUGAAGGCCUUCGGGUUGUAAAGCACUUUUGGCAGGAAGAAAUGGCACGGAUAAUACCCUGUGCAACUGACGGUACCUGCAGAAUAAGCACCGGCUAACUACGUGCCAGCAGCCGCGGUAAUACGUAGGGUGUUAAUCGGAAUUACUGGGCGUAAAGCGUGCGCAGGCGGUUCGGAAAGAAAGAUGUGAAAUCCCAGAGCUUAACUUUGGAACUGCAUUUUUAACUACCGAGCUAGAGUGUCAGAGGGAGGUGGAAUUCCGCGUGUAGCAGUGAAAUGCGUAGAUAUGCGGAGGAACACCGAUGGCGAAGGCAGCCUCCUGGGAUAACACCGACGCUCAUGCACGAAAGCGUGGGGAGCAAACAGGAUUAGAUACCCGUGUAGU
rnacentral:misc_RNA from 1 species